UCCUCCCCUGAACACAAUGACUAUAACCAUGGAAUGGAGCUGGGUCUUUCUCUUCCUCCUGUCAGUAACUGCAGAGUCCACUCCCAGGUCCAGCUGCAGCAGUCUGGAGCUGAGCUGGCAAAGCCUGGCUCUUCAGUGAAGAUUUCCUGCAAGGCUUCUGGCUACACCUUUACCAGCUACGAUAUAAGCUGGAUAAAGCAGACGACUGGACAGGGCCUUGAGUAUAUUGGAUAUAUUAAUACGGGAAGUGGAGGUACUUACUACAAUGAGAAGUUCAAGGGCAAGGCCACACUGACUGUAGACAAAUCCUCCAGCACAGCCUUCAUGCAACUCAGCAGCCUGACACCUGAGGACACUGCGGUCUAUUACUGUGCAAGACACAGCAUU
rnacentral:lncRNA from 1 species